UACGUAGGCAGCAAGCGUUGUUCGGAGUUACUGGGCGUAAAGGGUGCGUAGGUGGUCGUUUAAGUCCGUUGUGAAAUCCCUGGGCUCAACCUGGGAAUGGCAGUGGAUACUGGACGGCUAGAAUGCGGUAGAGGGUAGUGGAAUUCCCGGUGUAGCAGUGAAAUGCGUAGAGAUCGGGAGGAACACCAGUGGCGAAGGCGGCUACCUGGACCAGCAUUGACACUCAAGCACGAAAGCGUGGGG
rnacentral:rRNA from 1 species